GGGUGGUGAAGGGGUGGUUGGUAGGAGGAGGGAGCGAGGGAAAGAGAGAGAGGGCUCGCGUAGACCGGGGUGUGGCGGCAGCUGGCGCUCCGGCCCCUGGAGUGGCGCGGCGGAGACUUGCAGGUCCCCCCGGCGGCGGAAGAGGAAGCAGGAGAGGCUAGGUGGCCCUGUUCGGCCUGGCGGGACGUCGAGCGGUAGCAACGGCAGAGGUGGUGCUCGUGCGAGGAGACGGGGCCGAGCAGGAGCUGCAAGGCCAGGUGGGGCUCCGGGAGACAGCAGCGGCAAGCGAGGAGACGUAGGUGUCACUCGAAGGCGGGGGAAACGGGGAAAGGAAGAGCACUUAGGCAGCGACAUCGGUGGAUGCGAGCGGCUCUGGCGGUACCUGCCCUCGAAGCGAGGUCACACGCGGGCGCGACGAUGACGAACGAUGUGGCGACAGCGGCGAGCGACGGCGGGCGUGGUCGCGAGCGAGCGGCGGCAACGGUGCGGGAGCGGAGGCGGGCUGAGGCGACGGACGCGUCGGGGCGCGCGGGCCGGUGGAGGGCAAGCGGGCGCGAGGGGAUGACGGCGACGAGCAGGCUCGUGCGCGAGCGAAAGUCUGAUCGGUAUGUAGUACGUAGGAAUGUGGUACCUAACUACGAUAUUUUAAAGACGAGUUCGUCGUGACGUCGAAGUCUUCUAUCGAUCGGUCCGACGUUCUAGAUGGUAAGGGGUUAUGACUAAACUAAACCUGACCACGAUUUAUACCUUGUUCUCAGAAUGCGUUGUGCUAAACCGGCCUCUUACCGGAGAGCAUCCUUCUUCUACCGACGUAUGGCUCUUCUAACCUUCCUCCCGUCUGGGUCGGGUAACUUCGCCCACGCCGGUCUUCUCUCCAGCGAAUUGGUAAUACACGAGACCGUCUGCAUGCAAAACUACCGGCAUUCUCCGAACCCGAUGAACCGAGAAGAUACCAGCUGCCACCAGGAGGACCCACCAAAGCAGUGGAACGACGCCUCCUUCCUAAAGACCACGGAACGUUGGUAAUCGUACAAUGUCCGUAGGUCCAUUCAUUCCUGAUACAGCACUGGAAAACCAAGCACGAGAGAAAAGAGGCUAUAAGUGUACAAAUGUAAUCCGCCUAGAGAUUAAGUGACAAAAAAGAAGAAAACUUCUUUAUCAUCAUCCUAUAAGCGUAGGUUGGCAAAUCAUCUAUAAGUUAAAGACAACUUGAACGUAAGCGAUUAUAGGUAUAAAACUGUAAACGUAGGAUAAAAUUUCAUGAUAGGUUGGCACCACACAAAACCCUUCCCAUAAACAUCUUAGCUUGACUGAAUAAAUAUUCCCUUUGCUCUGGUCUUUGGAACGUCUAUAGCCAAUUAAUUUGCUUGUUGGCCUUUUUUGGUGUUAGCGGUUCAUGAAAUUAAUUACACUACUUAAAUGUCCCGCAUUCUGUCAUGUAAUACUCUCAAUCAAGUCCGACUUAAACGUUCGUAGGUUGAGUAAACACCAACCAAACAAACAAACACUCUCAAUCAAGUCCGACUUAAACGUUCACAGGUUGAGUGAACACCAACCAAACAAACACUCUUAGUCAGUUUAGAUUUGAACACUAGACCAGUAAUCACUUAGUCAUUUAACUACUAAGAGUCUGAAGAAGUCAGACACUAAACAAGAAACAACAACAACGUAGGGUGAGACACUUAACCAUUUACACGUUACGUUAUUGCAAUGUAAAGUCGAUUUGUCCAGACAGAAAAGUUGGAAAGAGUUGUGAGAGUAACAUAAAUAAUAUAAGUGCAAUGAAAAGAAAUUGGUUUAUGAGGGAGGCAAGGAUUUAUAAUCUGGAAAAUCCUAAUAAGACAUCUGAUGUAUGCCUCGUUUUACUCACUUAGAUGUGAGAUUUCAUACAGAUAUAUGUAGGCAUACAUCAAGUAUCACUUUAGAAAUUUUCCAGAAUAUAAAUUCUUGCCUACCUCCUGAUAGUUUUACAAUUGCUCCUAACUGGAGCUGAGACUGAUGUGUUAACGAUACCGCGUACGUCCUAGCACUCGCUACACCUCCUGGUCGCCAGGAGGUUAAAACGGCUUGACAUGCAGUUGCGAGUACGCAUGAAACACCCUUAGUAUGUCUAAUGAUGAUUGUUUAUACGACGAUCUCUCGACAGAGCCACAACGAUGACACGGAAAAAUAGCCCAGAAUAGGAUACGACCGGACAGUAGCGGCACGAAUACUCGAAUCACAAUGAACAUGACAAGUAGGUGGUAAUACCCGUAAAGCAGACACAGCACGAGAGUAACACCGCGUAUCAUGUCGCACUAAUACCUUCGUUGCUACCUCUGCCGUCGUUUCGUUUAUACUACGGUCGAGAUCUGUAUAAGAUAAGAAACCAAGAAACGGUUCCACGCGAGACCAAAUAUACCCACACCUAGUCAAGACCCCGCUACACCGAACAGCAAAGAGACGCAGCUCGUACGUUCAAGGGCCUCUUCACCCCGUCGUAUAGCCAAAGCCUCAUGGAGGACCUGUGUGAUCUCUUUACGACCGCCCUGGGAUACAGGUAUGUACCGUCCUUCCACUAGUUGAUACGGCAACUGAACGAACUGAGACUGAGCGUCUUUCUAAUGGAGAGCCCUCGUUCCUACGACCUGUGGAAGUAAUUCGACCUGCGACUACAUUCUAGUCAAUAAGAGGGGAGAUCCGGUUUCUAAGUCUUCGACUAGCUAUGUCACCCUAGCUCUUCGUCACUAUCUCUCUAGUCCCUCGAACGCCGGUCCUAGUAGCGGAUAGAACGUCCACUAUAGGUGGAUUGGGUCAAGGGACCCCGUUAUGCCACGUAUAGGAGACACGAGCUAUGGUGGGACGGUAUAACCUUGUUGGUUGUUCCUGUGUUAGUAAUGAGUUGAGUUUCAUUCAGUUUUUUCAGAAAAAUAAGAUUUCCUUUUAACUAAAAAGUACAGUCUUUGUAUCUCCUUGCAUCUCGUUUGUUCCAAUUUCGGGUUCUCCCACUGAAAGUCGUUCUGCUUGAUUUAUUAAGAAGCUGGUUACCGUCGUUUCCUCGACCGACCUUACUCGACUAAGAUGUUCCGUACUGUUAAGAGCUCUUCGAGCACCGGCUGGUCGUCUUGACGUCGCUGUAUACGUCGUGGGGACCAGACGAGGGGUUCUAGUACCGCGGAGAAUUGAGGCUCUGUGAUUAGGUUCUAUAGUCAUAUUUACGUACCCGUCUAUAUCAUUUGCCUAGCAAGUUUCACGAAGUGUCCGAGUAGACGCAAGGACUCACCUGUCCAUCUACCCACGUGAGACUUUAUCGAAGAUCGCUUGUACGUCACUCGUUGGACCUCCUUUAAGAACUACUCCCGUUGUCUUUACAGCUUCUUGACGUCUACGCUCGGUAUCUCUAGGACUGGCUUGACCGAAACCUAUACGUUUGUCUAGAAUCGUCGUUUUGUUUUCUUUAAGAGGAGUUCUUCGUCGACGUCUAGAAGGAAUGACUACCGCUUGGUCUUCUUGUACUGUCAUUCAAGUAGUGUCUUUCCGACUUUCAUUGCCGACCAUUUUGUAACCGUGAUAAUCGGUUCUGUCGUUGACACAGGCGCGAACAUCACUCCCUUAUACUCUUGUAACAACUUCAUGAACUACGAUUCUUGUUUUAGUAAAUGUCUUGUUAACGUCGCCUCUAGAACCUCUUAAACACAUCAGUGGUAUUCUACCUGUUCCUUGUACACUUCUGAUAGAACGACGGUUUCCAUGAUUCUCUUCAUGAUUGGUGACUUCGUAGACUUUCGUUACAAAGACGUAACCCUCUACUACGUCUUUUGGUAGUUGAAAGACGUGACCCUUUACUACUUCUUUUUGUUGAAGGCUUCGUGUUCUCCGUUUACUUCAGUCGGCUAGUUCGUUUACUCCUCGUUUGACGAUACUACCUUAACGUUCUUCGCAAAAAUAGAGAAUGAAACCACUAUACGUGACUUGACUAGUCACGCCUACUGAAACUACUACACCGAGCUUUUCAACGGGGUCGUCUUCCACCUAAACACCGCUUCGACUUCUGAUAUUAUCUUCUCUUGACACUCCUGUGCCGAUUGUCGGAUUCUUAACAGUUCGAAACACCAGUCUAACGACAAUCUUACUACGCCGCACCGGUCAUGUCACGCGUGAAGUUCCUAGUCUUUAAGCACCUCUGUGACAGAUUCCGAAGCUAUUAGUACAGAUUGGAACUUUCGACGUACGAGAAGCGACCCUGACUAACACCUUGCUUCUUCUGACGGUCUGGGGAGGAGAGCCUAGAGCACUUUCUCCGUGUGCACAACCAACGAAUUUUUACAUCAGCACUAAAGACGGUCAGACUACAGGAUAAAGACAUCUCCUUUGUUAGUACAUACGUAGAGCGAACAAAGUAAAGAUUUUGUUCUAACAUAACGACUUUAAUAUGGGUAAAAUACCUUGUUUAUUACGAUGGUGAAAACAUACACUAUGAGUC
rnacentral:rRNA from 1 species